CCCUGGCACCUGACCCAUCG
rnacentral:misc_RNA from 1 species